CACCCGUAACAACCACUCGAGCCUUCGCCGCGCCCCUCGUCCCUCCCGCCCCAGCCCCCUUCCCCGGAACCGGCGGUCGAGCCGCGGUUGCCGAGCAGUGGAACGGCGACGGCCCCGCGGAGUCGCCGGCAUGAGCGAAUCCCGCCGCCCCGCGUCCCCGUCCCGGCCUUUCUGACAAGAGGUGUGAGAGGAUAGCUGUUAUACUACAAUCAUGGUGCAAAAAUACCAGUCACCGGUGAGGGUGUAUAAACACCCUUUUGAAUUAAUUAUGGCUGCUUAUGAGAGGAGGUUCCCUACAUGUCCUCUGAUUCCAAUGUUCGUGGAUAGUGACACCGUGAGCGAAUUCAAGAGUGAAGAUGGGGCCAUCCACGUCAUUGAGAGGCGCUGCAAACUGGACAUAGAUGCUCCCAGGCUGCUCAAGAAGAUUGCAGGAGUUGAUUAUGUUUAUUUUGUCCAGAAAAACUCCCUGAAUUCUCGGGAACGUACUUUGCACAUUGAGGCCCACAAUGAAACAUUUUCUAACCGGGUCAUCAUUAACGAGCACUGCUGCUACACGGUUCACCCCGAGAAUGAAGACUGGACCUGUUUUGAACAGUCGGCAAGUUUAGAUAUCAAGUCCUUCUUCGGUUUUGAAAGUACAGUUGAAAAAAUCGCCAUGAAACAAUAUACCAGCAACAUUAAAAAAGGGAAGGAAAUCAUUGAAUACUACCUUCGUCAGCUGGAAGAUGAAGGUAUUACAUAUGUGCCCCGCUGGACCCCACCUGCCCUUGGGCCCUCUUCAGAGACGUCAGCAUCGAGCAAGAAUCAAGCAGUGUCCACAGCUGCCAUCGUCCCAGAUGCUACCCUCAAGGAGGGACUGAGUGGCGAGGCCCUCAGUAACCCAAGCGGGGCACCUGAGCCUGUGGUGGGGACGCCUGAUGAUAAACUUGAUGCUGACUACAUUAAGAGAUACCUGGGGGAUCUGACCCCGCUGCAGGAGAGCUGCCUCAUCAGACUCCGCCAGUGGCUCCAGGAGACACACAAGGGCAAGAUCCCAAAGGAUGAGCAUAUUCUUCGCUUCCUACGUGCUCGGGACUUCAACAUUGACAAGGCCAGGGAGAUCAUGUGUCAGUCUCUAACGUGGCGGAAGCAGCAUCAGGUAGACUACAUCCUGGACACCUGGACGCCCCCUCAGGUCCUUCAGGAUUACUACGCAGGAGGCUGGCACCACCACGACAAAGAUGGACGGCCUCUCUAUGUACUCAGGUUGGGGCAGAUGGACACCAAAGGCUUGGUGCGAGCCCUUGGAGAGGAAGCCCUGCUGCGAUACGUUCUCUCCAUCAACGAGGAAGGACUGAGAAGAUGUGAGGAAAAUACCAAAGUCUUCGGUCGGCCUAUCAGCUCGUGGACCUGCCUGGUGGACCUCGAAGGGCUGAACAUGCGCCACCUGUGGAGGCCUGGAGUCAAAGCCCUACUUCGGAUCAUUGAGGUGGUGGAAGCCAACUACCCGGAGACACUGGGCCGCCUCCUGAUCCUCCGUGCCCCCAGGGUCUUCCCGGUCCUCUGGACACUGGUUAGUCCGUUCAUUGAUGACAACACCAGGAGGAAAUUCCUCAUUUAUGCAGGAAAUGACUACCAGGGUCCUGGAGGCCUGCUGGAUUACAUCGACAAGGAGAUCAUUCCGGAUUUCCUGAGUGGGGAGUGCAUGUGCGAAGUGCCAGAGGGUGGACUGGUCCCCAAAUCUCUGUAUAGGACCGCGGAGGAGCUGGAAAACGAGGACCUGAAGCUCUGGACUGAGACCAUCUACCAGUCUGCCAGUGUGUUCAAAGGAGCCCCCCACGAGAUUCUCAUUCAGAUUGUAGACGCCUCCUCAGUGAUCACUUGGGAUUUUGAUGUGUGCAAAGGGGACAUUGUCUUUAACAUCUAUCACUCCAAGAGGUCGCCACAGCCACCCAAAAAGGACUCCCUGGGGGCCCACAGCAUCACUUCUCCAGGAGGGAACAAUGUGCAGCUGAUAGACAAAGUCUGGCAGCUGGGCCGGGACUACAGCAUGGUGGAGUCGCCUCUAAUCUGCAAAGAAGGGGAGAGUGUGCAGGGCUCUCACGUGACCAGGUGGCCAGGCUUCUACAUCCUGCAGUGGAGGUUCCACAGCAUGCCAGCGUGUGCUGCCACCAACCUGCCCCGAGUGGAUGACGUGCUGGCCUCCCUGCAGGUCUCUUCUCACAAGUGCAAAGUGAUGUACUACACAGAAGUGAUUGGCUCCGAGGAUUUCAGAGGCUCGAUGACCAGCCUGGAGUCCAGCCACAGCGGGUUCUCCCAGCUGAGCGCUGCCACCACCUCCUCCAGCCAGUCGCACUCCAGCUCCAUGAUUUCCAGGUAGUGCCGCGAAGCCUGUGCCUAGUGUGCCAAGGGGAUGGUCGCGCCUCCUCGACAGCCAGCUGUGCUCCGCCCGCCCACCCAGCGGCCACCUUGCGCAGACUCCUCUCACCCUCUAGAUAGCAAGUAGCUCUCCAGAUGAUGGCGAUUUUGCUGACAGCCUCCAAGAAAACUCUGCACUCAACAGUCCACAUGUGCCCAGAGAGGUUUAUAGAACUAUUUGAAUUGCAGCCAUGUCCCCACCCCCCAGCUGAAGAUCUUUCUUUUCAGUUGAUUCAGAAGUGGCACUGUUUUAACCCCAAAGAGCUGAGCACACCUGUGAGAUGAAAGAGGUGGCCUGAGGGCCAGUCCCAGGCCCUCGGGUUCUUGUGAGGGAGGAGCCAAGUGUUGACUGAGUCUGCGGUUUGCGCCAUGUCUCCUCCCCGGGCCCUGCCACUCUUUGUAAGUGCUGCUGUCAUGUCAGGUCCCUUUCUCAGCACUAAUGAUUCUUUUGGUCCUCCCCUCUAUUACUAGUGUCUUAAUUCUCUUUCCUUCCUAAAUUCAUUAUUUGCAUAUCAAAUUCUGUAAAUGUUUUGUAAACUUAUUACCUCACUCUUGGUAAUACAA